rnacentral:lncRNA from 1 species
UGAUAUUUGCCUAAAAACAAAAAAUCGAAUACAACGAAGAAGAAGAAGAAGACUACGAAGAAGAAGACUACGAAGAAGACUACGAUACUCGUCGUCGUGGUGGUUGUGCUGGUGGUGGUGGUGGUGGCUUGGUGGUGGUGGCUUUGGUGCUGGUCGUCGUCGUCGUGGUGGUCGUCGUCGUGCUGGUGCCCGGAUAUCGGUCGAGGAAAUUUCUUCGUUCGGUGCCGGUCGUUGAUCUUCUUCCCCUCUUCCACCACCUCGUUCUCUCUUUAAGAUUAACGAGAGGAAACAAUACAGGAGGAACAACGGGAAAAGAUUUAAACAUCGGAUAUAAUCGAAUAACGAGGAAGAAAAUAAAUCAACGAUGACGGAUACUAAUAAUAAUAAUAAUAAUAAUAAUAAUAAAAAUAAAAUAAUAGACAAAAAUAAUCAUAGAACAAUCGGUGCUUUAUCUCGACGAAUUUCAAUCGUCGAAAUGGAUGAACCAUACUCGUUCAAAUUAUCAUCUCGUUCGUCGAGCCUAAUCUGUGUUAAAAAGCCAAGUGUUACGAUAUUAAAUUUACCCCUUACGAACUGAGUGAAAAAUCAAAGAACAACAAAAUAACUUAAAAGGAUAAUCACUCAAUGAAAUGAAAUGAAAUGAAAUAAGAUUUGUUGUGAUAUGGCUUGAAGAAAUUCAAUAUAUUUUCAUCAUUUUCCAUGGAUCGAAGUUUUCAUUCGAUCGAUGGGAAAAGAAGAAGAAGAAGAAAGAACAUCUUCGAACAAUGAAAAUCUCAUUGGUUGUAUCGACGAAGAUACAAAAUAAGAGGAUACAUUAGGAA